AACAAACCAUACGUAUAUCAGUUACUACAAAAUAUUUCCUACAGAUAUUACAAUGGCUAUAACAAACCAUGCGUAUUUCAGUUACUACAAAAUCUUUCUUAUGGGUAUUACAAAGGAUAAAACAAACCAUACGUGUAUCUGUUACUACAAAAAUCUUUCCUCCGGGUAUUACAAUGGAAAUAACAAACCAUACGUAUUUCAGUUACUACAAAAUCUUUCUUACGGGUAUUACAAUGGAUAUAACAAACCAUACGUUUAUCAGUUUCUACAAAAUCUGUCCUACGGAUUCUUUCCUACGGGUAUUACAAUGGAUAUAACAAACCAUACGUAUUUAAGUUACUACAAAAUCUUUCCUACGGGUAUUACAAUGGAUAUAACAAACCAUACGUAUUUCAGUUACUACAAAAUCUUUCCUACGGGUAUUACAAUGGAUAUAACAAACCAUACGUAUAUCAGUUACUACAAAAUAUUUCCUAUGGGUAUUACAAUGGAUAUAACAAACCAUACGUAUUUCAGUUACUACAAAAUCCUUACGGGUCCA
rnacentral:lncRNA from 1 species